rnacentral:tRNA from 1 species
GCGGGGGUUGCCAAGCCUGGUCAACGGCGCAGGGUUCAGGCCCCUGUCCCGAAGGGGUUCGUGGGUUCAAAUCCCACCCCCCGCA